UAGGGAAUCUUCCGCAAUGGACGCAAGUCUGACGGAGCAACGCCGCGUGAGUGAAGAAGGAUUUCGGUUCGUAAAACUCUGUUGUUAGAGAAGAACAGCGCAUAGAGUAACUGUUAUGCGUGUGACGGUAUCUAACCAGAAAGCCACGGCUAACUACGUUCCAGCAGCCGCGGUAAUACGUAGGUGGCAAUCGUUGUCCGGAUUUAUUGGGCGUAAAGCGAGCGCAGGCGGUAAAUUAAGUCUGAUGUGAAAGCCCCCGGCUCAACCGGGGAGGGUCAUUGGAAACUGGUUGACUUGAGUGCAGAAGAGGAGAGUGGAAUUCCAUGUGUAGCGGUGAAAUGCGGAGGUAUAUGGAGGAAGACCAGUGGCGAAGGCGACUCUCAGGUAUGUAACUGAAGCAGAGGCUCGAAAGAGUGAGUAGCAAACAGG
rnacentral:rRNA from 1 species